GCCACGUGGCAGUGGGAGCCAGGCUGGAGUCCGCUGGUGGAAGACAGGACACAGGCUGGAAAGGAAAACCCAACACGAUGACUGCCCCUCGCAGGCCACAGUCAGCCCGGCCCCAGGAGAGAGACCCGUGGAGCCCUAUGUCUCAGCAGGCAAGACCACCCUGGCCUGCCAUGCCUCCAUCCUAUGCCUAUAAAAACCCAAGACCCUAGCAAGGCAGAGACAGAAGCCUCUGUGUGGGGAGAGGAACACACUGGUGGAAGAAGACAAGCUGCUGGACAUCCCGAGAAUGUUGCCUGACUCCAGGGGAAAACCAUCUCCCCUCUGGCUCCCCCAUCUGCUGAGAGCUACUUCCACUCAAUAAA
rnacentral:lncRNA from 1 species